rnacentral:tRNA from 2 species
GGGAGUAGAUGGGUGCUGGUGUGCCCCCCGGUCUUCAAAACCGGUGCAGGUGGUGAAGAGCCGCCCAGGUGGGUUCGAUUCCCACAUAUUCCCGCCA